GUUUGUUUUUACCAUUUGUGUGCACUUGAGCAGCCAUAGCAACUAAGUCACCUGAAAGAACCCUCAGGGGAUGGAGGGACAAGCCCUUGUCUGCACAGAGAGUCAACAGCAAGCUGAAGGCAACCAUCCCCAGAGAGGAGUAAACUCACAUCAGCAGGGCCUGCCCCACUGCAGGGGCCUCUCAGCGAGCACGGAACUCACCAAGUUCAUUAUGCUAGCUGCCUGGUGAGCCCCGGAGAUCCACCUUCCCAGCACAAGAUCACGAACAUGUACCACCACAAUCUGUCUCCCCCCACAAAUUCUGGGGAUUAGACUCAGGUCCUCAGGUUUGUGCAGCAAGCACAUUUACCAACAGAGCCUCCUCUGCAACCCAUGUGCCGUGGAUGACUUGUUGACCAUGAUACUUCACAAAACUGCAAGAGUUCCUACCACAAGGCUGGCAUGAAUGUCGGGACCACUAGGCCUGCAGAAAGGCUUCAUGGCUAUGCAUCACAUCGGACUUUCUCAGCACAGCCAGCUCCAGUUCCCUCAGCCCAUGGUUGUAGGCUGAGAGCCCACACUGGAUGGAGGAACAGAGAGGUCUCCCUCUCCAGCUUGUGUUGUUCGGAACCACCCGUUACCACUGCCUUAUCUUUGAGGCCAGUUCACAGCAUGUACACCCCAACCCCAGUGCUU
rnacentral:lncRNA from 1 species